rnacentral:rRNA from 1 species
UACGUAGGGUGCAAGCGUUGUCCGGAAUUAUUGGGCGUAAAGAGCUCGUAGGCGGUCUGUCGCGUCGGAUGUGAAAAUCCAGGGCUUAACCCUGGGCCUGCAUUCGAUACGGGCAGACUAGAGUUCGGUAGGGGAGACUGGAAUUCCUGGUGUAGCGGUGAAAUGCGCAGAUAUCGGGAGGAACACCCGUAGCGAAGGCGGCACUCUGGGCCGGUACUGACGCUGAGGAGCGAAAGCGUGGGGAGCAAACAGG